rnacentral:lncRNA from 1 species
GUGGGGUGGAGAGUAGUCAGGCAAGGUGAGAGAGGACAGUGUGUGAAGGGAUAACAAGAUCCUCUCACCACAUGGUCUGUUAAGGGAGAAAGAAAUAACAAAGCUUUUAUUUCCUUUAUGGAAAGCAAAGAAGCAGAAAAACUAUGUUUACAGAAGACAGAUCUUGGGGAGAUGUGGAGAGAAGAGGUCCUGUGCACCACUAUGCCCACUGCUGAUGGUGACACGGAGUAACAGAUGGCACUGCCAGGGCUACAGGUGCCUCGGAAUGGAGCCUUUUGAAGACUAAGCCAAGGCAGUGGCCUGAAAACUACUCAGUGAUACAGAAACCGAAGUUAUUGGAAAUUGGGGGGAGGGAAUUUAAAAAAACAGUGAUUAUCUUUUAAUAAAUGACUGUCUUCCAGAAGUAUUAAAGCUUUUGCUCACAGACGCAACCUGGCCUAUUUGUGGCUCAACACAAAAGCUCAGAGUUGGUGAGCCCCAAGAGGUCACCCCCCAGCGCAGCCCAGACCCAGAGAGACAACCCCAGCUCUAAAUGUUGA